rnacentral:misc_RNA from 1 species
GAAAUUGAUAAUGUGUGCUAUGUUUCGGACUAUUUUGUAAAUUGACCUCCAAUUCCGGAAAAAGUUCAUUUAAGUUUUUUUUUUAUAUAUACUUAGAGAAAUUGCAAAACUUAUAUUAUUACUAAUGAUGCAAUUAAAAAAAAUAGUAGAUAUAAUAAAUGUCAUAGCACAAAAAAAUAUUAUUUAGCUUUGGUUGGAGCUUGAAUUUGAAAUUUCA